CCGGCGCGCUCCUGCCCGCCCGCCCGCUCGCCCCCGGUCCGGACUCCUCCUCCUCCUCUUCUCGCCAUUGCACUUGGACCCAGCAGCCCGGCGCGCACCGCGUGGCUUUUGGGGGCAGACCCCGGCGGGCUGUGGCAGGAGGGCGGCGGCGGCUGCGGUCGAAGAAGGGGACGCCGACAAGAGUUGAAGUAUUGAUAACACCAAGGAAAUCUAUCGCAAUUUGAAAAGAUAAGCAAAAGUUUGAUUUCCAGACACUACAGAAGUAAAAAUGCGUCCAAUGCGAAUUUUUGUGAAUGAUGACCGCCAUGUGAUGGCAAAGCAUUCUUCCGUUUAUCCAACACAAGAGGAGCUGGAGGCAGUCCAGAACAUGGUGUCCCACACGGAGCGGGCACUCAAAGCUGUGUCCGACUGGAUAGACGAGCAGGAAAAGGGUAGCAGUGAGCAGGCAGAAUCCGAUAACAUGGAUGUGCCCCCAGAGGACGACAGUAAAGAAGGGGCCGGGGAACAGAAGACAGAGCACAUGACCAGAACCCUGCGGGGAGUGAUGCGGGUGGGCCUGGUGGCAAAGGGCCUGCUACUCAAGGGGGACUUGGAUCUGGAGCUGGUGCUGCUGUGUAAAGAGAAGCCCACGACCGCCCUCCUGGACAAGGUGGCCGACAACCUGGCCAUCCAGCUUGCUGCUGUAACAGAAGACAAGUACGAAAUACUGCAAUCUGUCGACGAUGCUGCGAUUGUGAUAAAAAACACAAAAGAGCCUCCAUUGUCCUUGACCAUCCACCUGACAUCCCCUGUUGUCAGAGAAGAAAUGGAGAAAGUAUUAGCUGGAGAAACGCUAUCAGUCAACGACCCCCCGGACGUUCUGGACAGGCAGAAAUGCCUUGCUGCCUUGGCGUCCCUCCGACACGCCAAGUGGUUCCAGGCCAGAGCCAAUGGGCUGAAGUCCUGUGUCAUUGUGAUCCGGGUCUUGAGGGACCUGUGCACUCGCGUGCCCACCUGGGGUCCCCUCCGAGGCUGGCCUCUCGAGCUCCUGUGUGAGAAAUCCAUUGGCACGGCCAACAGACCGAUGGGUGCUGGCGAGGCCCUGCGGAGAGUGCUGGAGUGCCUGGCGUCGGGCAUCGUGAUGCCAGAUGGUUCUGGCAUUUAUGACCCUUGUGAAAAAGAAGCCACUGAUGCUAUUGGGCAUCUAGACAGACAGCAACGGGAAGAUAUCACACAGAGUGCGCAGCACGCACUGCGGCUCGCUGCCUUCGGCCAGCUCCAUAAAGUCCUGGGCAUGGACCCUCUGCCUUCCAAGAUGCCCAAGAAACCAAAGAAUGAAAACCCAGUGGACUACACCGUUCAGAUCCCACCAAGCACCACCUAUGCCAUUACGCCCAUGAAACGCCCAAUGGAGGAGGACGGGGAGGAGAAGUCGCCCAGCAAAAAGAAGAAGAAGAUUCAGAAGAAAGGUACAGGCCGGGCGCGGUGGCUCACGCCUGUAAUCCCAGCACUUUGGGAGGCCGAGGCGGGAGAAUCGCUUGAGCUCAGGAGUUUUGAGACCACCAGCCUGGGCAACAUGGCGAAACCCCGUCUCUACAAAAAAUACAAAAAUUAGCUGGGUGUGGUGGCGCACUUGUAGUGCCAGCUACUGGGGAGGCUGAGAUGGGAGGAUGGCUUGUGCCUGGGAGGCGGAGGUUGCAGUGAGCAACUGCACUCCAGCCUGGGCAACAGAGUUGAGACCUUGCUUAAAAUCAGUGUUGAAAAAUUUUAGAAGCUAAAUAGGUAAAAAAGCAGGAAGGUGCAGACCUCCGCUAGUGCUGCUGCUUUAUCCAUCUGGUCCUGUGAAGGCUCACCCUGAAGCUAUGGGACGCCUGCUUUUGUUUCAUUUUUCUCACUUGUGAUUUCUGAGUCCUUUUAACAAUGAUGAGGCAUGAUUGGGGAUGUGGAAGAUGAGUAGGAUAGUGGUGCUACAGCUGGAGGCCACAGGAGAGGUGCAAGCUGGGCUCAGUUUGUGUGGCUGCCCCACCCACUGUGUUACACCACAGAGGCAGCCCUGGGGGUUAGGAUUGGCAGAGCUCUCUCUCAUGGAGACCUGCCAUUGUGCUGAUCCAGAGCCACCUUGCUAUUCUCUCUGUAGAGGAGAAGGCAGAGCCCCCCCAAGCUAUGAAUGCCCUGAUGCGGUUGAACCAGCUGAAGCCAGGGCUGCAGUACAAGCUGGUGUCCCAGACUGGGCCCGUCCAUGCCCCCAUCUUUACCAUGUCUGUGGAGGUUGAUGGCAAUUCAUUCGAGGCCUCUGGGCCCUCCAAAAAGACAGCCAAGCUACACGUGGCCGUUAAGGUGUUACAGGACAUGGGCUUGCCGACGGGUGCUGAAGGCAGGGACUCAAGCAAGGGGGAGGACUCGGCUGAGGAGACUGAGGCGAAGCCAGCAGUGGUGGCCCCCGCCCCAGUGGUAGAAGCUGUCUCCACCCCUAGCGCGGCCUUUCCCUCAGAUGCCACUGCCGAGAACGUAAAACAGCAGGGGCCGAUCCUGACAAAGCACGGCAAGAACCCAGUCAUGGAGCUGAACGAGAAGAGGCGUGGGCUCAAGUACGAGCUCAUCUCCGAGACUGGGGGCAGCCACGACAAGCGCUUCGUCAUGGAGGUCGAAGUGGAUGGACAGAAGUUUCAAGGUGCUGGUUCCAACAAAAAGGUGGCAAAGGCCUACGCUGCUCUUGCUGCCCUAGAAAAGCUUUUCCCUGACACCCCUCUCGCCCUUGAUGCCAACAAAAAGAAGAGAGCCCCAGUACCUGUCAGAGGGGGACCAAAAUUUGCUGCUAAGCCACAUAACCCUGGCUUCGGCAUGGGAGGCCCCAUGCACAACGAAGUGCCCCCACCCCCCAACCUUCGAGGGCGGGGAAGAGGCGGGAACAUCCGGGGACGAGGGCGCGGGCGAGGAUUUGGUGGCGCCAACCAUGGAGGCUACAUGAAUGCCGGCGCUGGGUAUGGAAGCUAUGGGUACGGAGGCAACUCGGCAACAGCAGGCUACAGUGACUUUUUCACAGACUGCUACGGCUAUCAUGAUUUUGGGUCUUCCUAGAGCGUCUAAAAGUCAGUUCUACAGCAACGGAGGGCAUUCUGGGAAUGCCGGUGGCGGUGGCGGCGGGGGCGGUGGUGGCUCCUCCGGCUAUGGCUCCUACUACCAAGGUGACAACUACAACUCACCGGUGCCCCCAAAACACGCUGGGAAGAAGCAGCCGCACGGGGGCCAGCAGAAGCCCUCCUACGGCUCGGGCUACCAGUCCCACCAGGGCCAGCAGCAGUCCUACAACCAGAGCCCGUACAGCAACUAUGGCCCUCCACAGGGCAAGCAGAAAGGCUAUAACCAUGGACAAGGCAGCUACUCCUACUCGAACUCCUACAACUCUCCCGGGGGCGGGGGCGGAUCCGACUACAACUACGAGAGCAAAUUCAACUACAGUGGUAGUGGAGGCCGAAGCGGCGGGAACAGCUACGGCUCAGGCGGGGCAUCCUACAACCCAGGGUCACACGGGGGCUACGGCGGAGGUUCUGGGGGCGGCUCCUCAUACCAAGGCAAACAAGGAGGCUACUCACAGUCGAACUACAACUCCCCGGGGUCCGGCCAGAACUACAGUGGCCCUCCCAGCUCCUACCAGUCCUCACAAGGCGGCUAUGGCAGAAACGCAGACCACAGCAUGAACUACCAGUACAGAUAAGCCCCCACGGGGCGGAGAGUUCUACCUUCUGCACUUACUCCCCAUCAGAAGAUCGAGUUUUAUGCAUCACAGUUAACAUGUCAGCUGGCCCUCCAGGCCCCCGCCCCCACCCCGUCCACGUUGCUGUGUCGUGAGGUGCAGCGGGUCACCCUGUGGCCCGUCCUGUGACCCAUAUUUAGCCGUGUUUGGGACUCCGUGUCUUCAAUGGUUUGUUAGUUACCAUUACAGCUUUGUCUGGGUAGAGUUUUUGAGUUCUUGCAGUUCAGUAUCCCUCUGUCUAUUCACACUUCGUGUUAGUGGUAACUCAGUUCGUCUUUAAAUAGUUACGGAAGGGAUACGUCAUUUGUUAAUGCUUUUGUGAAGUGAGUUAAACGAGCUUUGUGUAUUUUAAUGCUUUAGUGUUUCAGUUUUAUAAGUGAAGAUUUUAUUUUAAAAACCAGUGGGAAAGAGUGGGGGGUUUCUUUUUAUGUCUGGGUCAUUCAGGCAGUACAUCUGAAUUAAGCUGAAUGUAGACAAAUAAAGAAAAACAAAACUG
rnacentral:sRNA from 1 species